AUUAGCUCAGUUGGUAGAGCAUCUGACUUUUAAUCAGAGGGUCAGAGGUUCGAAUCCUCUAUG
rnacentral:tRNA from 4 species